GGAUUCCCCCAGUAACGGCGAGUGAAGCGGGAAGAGCUCAAGCUUAAAAUCUCCAUACUUGUAUGGCGAAUUGUAGUCUAUUGAGGCUGUUGUCAGCAUCGCGAUUGGGGACAAGUCCCUUGGAAAAGGGCAGCAUAGAGGGUGAUACUCCCGUCUCUGCUCCAAUCUGCGGUGUGUACGAUACGCUUUCUUUGAGUCGAGUUGUUUGGGAAUACAGCUCAAAGUAGGUGGUAAAUUCCAUCUAAAGCUAAAUAUUGGUGCGAGACCGAUAGCGAACAAGUACCGUGAGGGAAAGAUGAAAAGAACUUUGAAAAGAGAGUUAAAGAGUACCUGAAACUGUUGAAAGGGAACCGUAUCGUUUCCAGUGUUGUAUCCUAUGCAUAUUUCAUUCGCGGAGUAAUUUGCGGGUGCCCUGUGCAUGGGUGUGACGUCAGGGUCAGUUUGUAUGCUGCGGGAGAUGGUCAGUGAGGAGGUGCGUCACUUCGGUGAAAGUUAUAUCUCGCUGUCUAGUAGCCGUGGUUGAGACUGAGGUGCCUACAACAUGCCUUAAGGUUCCGUGUUGUCUCGUGUUGGUGACUGCUUUGAUAGCUUGCUAUGUCUGUGGUUUAUCAGUGCGAUUGAUGAUGCGGAUAACUUUUGCUGUUCGGGACUCUGGCGAAAUGGAAGCGAUACGACCCCGUCUUGAAACACG
rnacentral:rRNA from 1 species